GACGAACGCUGGCGGCGUGCUUAACACAUGCAAGUCGAACGGAAAGGCCCUGCUUUUGUGGGGUGCUCGAGUGGCGAACGGGUGAGUAACACGUGAGUAACCUGCCCUUGACUUUGGGAUAACUUCAGGAAACUGGGGCUAAUACCGGAUAGGAGCUCCUGCUGCAUGGUGGGGGUUGGAAAGUUUCGGCGGUUGGGGAUGGACUCGCGGCUUAUCAGCUUGUUGGUGGGGUAGUGGCUUACCAAGGCUUUGACGGGUAGCCGGCCUGAGAGGUUGACCGGCCACAUUGGGCCUGAGAUACGGCCCAGACUCCUACGGGAGGCAGCAGUGGGGAAUAUUGCACAAUGGGCGGAAGCCUGAUGCAGCAACGCCGCGUGCGGGAUGACGGCCUUCGGGGUGUAAACCGCUUUCGCCUGUGACGAAGCGUGAGUGACGGUAAUGGGUAAAGAAGCACCGGCUAACUACGUG
rnacentral:rRNA from 1 species